rnacentral:rRNA from 1 species
UACGUAGGGGGCAAGCGUUGUCCGGAUUUAUUGGGCGUAAAGAGCGUGUAGGCGGCCAGGUAGGUCCGUUGUGAAAACUGGAGGCUUAACCUCCAGCGGUCGAUGGAAACCAUCUGGCUAGAGUCCGGAAGAGGAGAGUGGAAUUCCUGGUGUAGCGGUGAAAUGCGCAGAUAUCAGGAAGAACACCCGUGGCGAAGGCGGCUUACUAGACGACAACUGACGCUGAGGCGCGAAAGCUAGGGGAGCAAACAGG